ACAAACUUGGUCAUUUAGAGGAAGUAAAAGUCGUAACAAGGUCUCCGUUGGUGAACCAGCGGAGGGAUCAUUACUGAGUUGUCAAAAACUCCAAACCCUUUGUGAACUUAGAAUCGUUGCCUCGGCGUGAGCCGCGCGUGCCCUGCAGCUACCCUGCAGCGGCGUGCGCAAUACGGCCCGCCGGAGGACCAAUUCAAAACUCUUGCUCCAAAAGCUUUGCUUCUCUGAAUUAUUGCUUCAAAAUCAGUUAAAACUUUCAACAACGGAUCUCUUGGUUCUGGCAUCGAUGAAGAACGCAGC
rnacentral:misc_RNA from 1 species